GCUACCUAACUUCUCAAAGCUUCAUUUCAGAUGCAUGUCUCAGCUGACCCCUCUUGAGGCCCCGCCUUUACCAUUUCAGAGGAUCUGACAUUGGACCCUCACUGCUUCUGCUCUCUGGGCUCCUCCCUCCCUCCUUCCCCUCUUUUUCUCACCAGUACCUGCCAGGGCCACCAGGAAGCACAGACCAAGAUCUUAAGGUGCCCUCUGCCACCCACCCAGGUGGUCUUCUCCUAGCAGGUACAGCUGCAAGGUCACCCUGGGCUUCUGGCCGCCAGGGUGAAAGCAGACCAUGCUGGUUCUCUUUGUCUUCCUGUGCACCAUCCUGUUUCAUGGCAGCUCGGGGGCAAUCAGCCUGGAACAACCAGAUGUGGUAGUGGCACGCACGGGCAACUUGGCCGCCCUGCCUUGCAAAGCCAGCACCAAGGUCAACUACAUCCACUGGUACCACCACCAGGAGGGAAUGGCUCCUGAGAGGAUCCUCAGACUGGACAUGUCUGGGUCAUCCAUGUACAAGGAUUCGGUCCUGAAAGCAGAUAAAGUCAUGGCCACAAAAGACAAGGAUGGCACCAGCUGUAACCUGUUUGUGCUGAAGCUGGAGAAGAGCGACGAGGGCGUUUACUACUGCGCUGCCUGGGAAGCUCACAGCCCAGCACUGGGACCAGUGGAUAGGCGGUAUGGCUGGUGGUAUUAUAUCAAAGUGUUUGGUCCUGGCACAUGGCUCAGGGUCACAGAUAACAUUCCUGAUAAAGACAUUUCCCCCAAGCCCACAAUUUUUCUUCCUUCGAUUGCUGAGGUAAAAGUCCAUAACGCUGGAACAUAUCUUUGUCUUCUUGAGGAUUUUUUCCCUGACAUUAUUAAGAUAGAUUGGAAAGAAAAGGAUGGCAAAACAAUUCUGAAAUCCCAGCAGGGAGACUCCAUAAAGACUAAGGACACAUACAUGAAAUUCAGCUGGCUGACCGUGACUGGAACGUCAAUGGUUAAAGACCACAAAUGUAUCGUCAACCACGAAAGUGAUAGAAGAAGGGUCGAUCAAGAGAUUCUGUUUCCUUCAAUAAACAAAGUUUUGAUGACCAUGCUGGAAUCGAAAAUGGACUUCCAGGGGCAUUCAAAGACUAGGCGAAACAGAGAAGUGGUAACUGUGAGCCCUUCGAGUUCAGGAUCUUUCUCGCCUGUUCCAAGGGCUGUGGCAUUCACUGCUAUUAACUCCACAAAAUCUUCUCUGAAUGAUGAAAAUGACACCCUGCAGCUGCAGCUCGCGAACACAUCUGCCUACUACACCUACGUCCUCCUCCUCUUGAAGAGCCUGGUCUACUCCGCCAUCAUCGCCAUCUGUCUGCUUGGGAGACCAGCGCUCUAUGGCAAUGGGAAGAGCUAACACAUGGUGGCACCAAGGCUCCACAUAUCUCCAUUGGCUAUUGUCGCUUAAAGUGUCUGCUGAGGAUCUACCAGGGCUUUCAUUCUGAGAUUGGGUUAUUUCAGUUCACACGUGUCUUUUUCUCUUGUGUUGUUAUUGGAGAACGGGUUUACAAACAGCCGGGCAAACAGAAACUUUCACUCUGCAGCAAGAACAAAUGCUGUCAUGACUCAGGGGCGGGGCCGGGGGACCAUCCACAGGGGCCUCAACACCGCUUUCUCCUUAGUGUCCACCAGCCCCUCAGCCACCUGGUCCCCUUGCCUCUGGGUAGAGCCAGAGUCCUGGACUCUUUAACCAGAUGAUUGCCUGGAAACCUUUUAGUUUACGUACCUGGAAGCCGCCAUCCUUGCUACCUGAAGCUUGUACUGUUUUUUAAAUAAUAAGCACAAUAAAAGCAAUCAAAAAU